CAAGCUCUCAUGUGCUGAUGUGUC
rnacentral:siRNA from 1 species